CGCCACCCUCUCUCCAUGGUACCUGAAAAGAUGGUUGACCAUAGAACAUGCGCUACUUCUGUGUCGUAUGUAGUAUGGUCCACAUCUUCUCAUUAUCAAAGUCAUUCGUGGAGGGUU
rnacentral:pre_miRNA from 14 species